rnacentral:lncRNA from 1 species
CGGCUACAACUUGCCUAUUUCCUAAUUCGUUUAUGUUUAUGAUUUGUAAUCUUUCCUAUUAUUGUAUUUCCAUUUAUCUCUCUUGUAACCCCUAUAUAAAGGGAACACUUAUUCAUUAAUAAUAUACAGAAACUUACAGUUCUAAAUCCUUAAGUUUACAACACGUUAUCAGCACGAUAGCCUCUAACACCCUGAGCCUAAAACCAAAUCGCUAAAACCCUAAAAC